rnacentral:rRNA from 1 species
AACGAACGCUGGCGGCAUGCCUAACACAUGCAAGUCGAACGAGACCUUCGGGUCUAGUGGCGCACGGGUGCGUAACGCGUGGGAACCUGCCCUUAGGUUCGGAAUAACUCCCCGAAAGGGGUGCUAAUACCGGAUAAUGUCUUCGGACCAAAGAUUUAUCGCCUUUGGAUGGGCCCGCGUUGGAUUAGCUAGUUGGUAGGGUAAAAGCCUACCAAGGCGACGAUCCAUAGCUGGUCUGAGAGGAUGAUCAGCCACACUGGGAUUGAGACACGGCCCAGACGCAGGGGGGGAGAGGGGGUGAGGAAGAUGGGGAGAGGGGAGAAAGACGGCACCAGGAAGGAGGCGUGGGUGAGGAAGGGCGUGGGUGUGUAAAGCUCUUAUACCGGGAAUGAAAAGGAAAGUAGCGGGGGAAUAUGCUCCGGCAAAGUCGGUGCCAGGAGCGGGGGGAAACGACGAAGAGCACACGUCGGAAC